rnacentral:rRNA from 1 species
GAUGAACGCUGGCGGCGUGCCUAAUACAUGCAAGUCGAGCGAACAGACGAGGAGCUUGCUCCUCUGACGUUAGCGGCGGACGGGUGAGUAACACGUGGAUAACCUACCUAUAAGACUGGUAUAACUUCGGGAAACCGGAGCUAAUACCGGAUAAUAUAUUGAACCGCAUGGUUCAAUAGUGAAAGACGGUUUUGCUGUCACUUAUAGAUGGAUCCGCGCCGCAUUAGCUAGUUGGUAAGGUAACGGCUUACCAAGGCAACGAUGCGUAGCCGACGUGAGAGGGUGAUCGGCCACACUGGAACUGAGACACGGUCCAGAGUCCUACGGGAGGCAGCAGUAGGGAAUCGUCCGCAAUGGGCGAAAGCCUGACGGAGCAACGCCGCGUGAGUGAUGAAGGUCUUCGGAUCGUAAAACUCUGUUAUUAGGGAAGAACAAAUGUGUAAGUAACUAUGCACGUCUUGACGGUACCUAAUCAGAAAGCCACGGCUAACUACGUG